rnacentral:misc_RNA from 1 species
CCGAGUUAGGGUCCUCCAGGCCCGACCUCCAACCCUUUGUCUACACGACCCUGUUGCCUCGGCGGGCCGGUCUCACGACCGCCGGGGGCGUCUGCGCCCCUGGAGAGCUGCCCGCCGGUAGGCCUCACAUCUAAUCCUAGACGAACCGUGUGUCUAAAGUCACAAGUUAAAUAAGCA